AGCCAGACUCCUACGGGAGGCAGCAGUGGGGAAUAUUGCACAAUGGGGGAAACCCUGAUGCAGCGACGCCGCGUGAGCGAUGAAGUAUUUCGAUAUGUAAAGCUCUAUCAGCAGGGAAGAAAAUGACGGUACCUGACUAAGAAGCCCCGGCUAACUACGUGCCAGCAGCCGCGGUAAUACGUAGGGGGCAAGCGUUAUCCGGAUUUACUGGGUGUAAAGGGAGCGUAGACGGCUGUGCAAGCCAGAUGUGAAAGCCCGGGGCUCAACCCCGGGACUGCAUUUGGAACUGUGUGGCUGGAGUGUCGGAGAGGCAGGCGGAAUUCCUAGUGUAGCGGUGAAAUGCGUAGAUAUUAGGAGGAACACCAGUGGCGAAGGCGGCCUGCUGGACGAUGACUGACGUUGAGGCUCGAAAGCGUGGGGAGCAAACAGGAUUAGAUACCCGAGUA
rnacentral:rRNA from 1 species